rnacentral:rRNA from 1 species
CCCUUAGAUGUUCUGGGCCGCACGCGCGCUACACUGACGAAUGCAACGAGCUUAUAACCUUGGCCGAAAGGUCUGGGUAAUCUCCAAAUUUCGUCGUGAUGGGGAUAGAUUAUUGCAAUUAUUAAUCUUCAACGAGGAAUGCCUAGUAAGCGCAAGUCAUCAGCUUGCGUUGAUUACGUCCCUGCCCUUUGUACACACCGCCCGUCGCUCCUACCGAUUGAAUGGUCCGGUGAAGCGUUCGGACCGUGGCCUUUUGACGGUUCGCCGUCUGUUGGCUGCGGGAAGUUCGUUAAACCUUAUCAUUUAGAGGAAGGAGAAGUCGUAACA